UGAAGGCUCUCAUUUCAAUCAUCCCACUCACCAAUUACCUUUAUUUAUUUUCUUCUGUACGUCUCUAUUUGUGUAGUGUAAUGUUACAUUUUCUUCAUUUGUAACGAUGGAAAGACAUUCUUCCAAUUGUUGGAUAGAUUGGUGAGCGGUAGAAAGUCCCGAUAAAUGCUUUAUUGUAGUAGGAAUACUUUCUUAUGAGCGAUAAAAAUAGUGAGAUAGUUGCUUCAGGAUUGGGAAACACUUGAGAUGCUAUUUUUGGAUCGGCUCGAAUCGCUUUGUAGCUACCUUGUUUUAGUGAAGAAGUGCUCGUAGCUGUCGUUGCUGUCG
rnacentral:lncRNA from 1 species